UCACGAAAAUGGUCGGUCCUGUCGGUCCUGUCGGUCAAAAUGAGGCUCGGACCAGUAUUUUGAAGGCUAGUGCCGGUCCGGAUGACCGAUGUAAAAACGGCCGUUGUAUGCAUAUUUCGGCACUUUUUUACAUCGGUUAUUAGAUGUACCGCAACUGUUUACAUCGGUUAUCAGAUGUACCCGCUGCCAAUUUCCGGUACUGGUUUACAGAUUUAUUAUAAACAAACCAAAGCGGCGAUCUACACGUGGCCUACUAAAUUUGUUCAUAGAGCCAUCCCUGGCAAACAAUCGGCAAUUGAACCCUACAAUGGAGCAAACAAAUACUGUAACAGCCGAGAAAGUGAUUCAGAUGAUGAAAUGGAUAGUGAAGAUGACUUUAAAUAAGAACAAUCAGAAGACCUGAACUGGUCCUUCAUUGUUAAUUUGCCUGUGGGUGCGAAGAAUAAAACUAAUAUUAAUAAAGUUAUUUUUCGAUAAAA